UGGGGAAUUUUGGACAAUGGGCGAAAGCCUGAUCCAGCAAUGCCGCGUGUGUGAAGAAGGCCUUCGGGUUGUAAAGCACUUUCAGCGAGGAGGAAGGUGGUGAACUUAAUACGUUCAUCAAUUGACGUUACUCGCAGAAGAAGCACCGGCUAACUCCGUGCCAGCGGCCGCGGUAAUACGGAGGGUGCAAGCGUUAAUCGGAAUUACUGGGCGUAAAGCGCACGCAGGCGGUUUGUUAAGUCAGAUGUGAAAUCCCCGGGCUCAACCUGGGAACUGCAUUUGAAACUGGCAAGCUAGAGUCUCGUAGAGGGGGGUAGAAUUCCAGGUGUAGCGGUGAAAUGCGUAGAGAUCUGGAGGAAUACCGGUGGCGAAGGCGGCCCCCUGGACGAAGACUGACGCUCAGGUGCGAAAGCGUGGGGAGCAAACAGGAUUAGAUACCCUGGUAGUCCACGCUGUAAACGAUGUCGAUUUUGGAGGUUGUGCCCUUGAGGCGUGGCUUCCGGAGCUAACGCGUUAAAUCGACCGCCUGGGGAGUACGGCCGCAAGGUUAAAACUCAAAGGAAUUGACGGGGUCUAGCUG
rnacentral:rRNA from 1 species